GAUGAACGCUGGCGGCGUGCCUAAUACAUGCAAGUCGAGCGAACGGACGAGAAGCUUGCUUCUCUGAUGUUAGCGGCGGACGGGUGAGUAACACGUGGAUAACCUACCUAUAAGACUGGGAUAACUUCGGGAAACCGGAGCUAAUACCGGAUAAUAUUUUGAACCGCAUGGUUCAAAAGUGAAAGACGGUCUUGCUGUCACUUAUAGAUGGAUCCGCGCUGCAUUAGCUAGUUGGUAAGGUAACGGCUUACCAAGGCAACGAUGCAUAGCCGACCUGAGAGGGUGAUAGGCGACACUGGAACUGAGACACGGUCCAGACUCCUACGGGAGGCAGCAGUAGGGAAUCUUCCGCAAUGGGCGAAAGCCUGACGGAGCAACGCCGCGUGAGUGAUGAAGGUCUUCGGAUCGUAAAACUCUGUUAUGAGGGAAGAACAUAUGUGUAAGUAACUGUGCACAGCUUGACGGUACCUAAUCAGAAAGCCACGGCUAACUACGUG
rnacentral:rRNA from 1 species